AUACCUUUCUCGGCCUUUUGGCUAAGAUCAAGUGUAGUAUCUGUUCUUAUCAGAUAUGUGGACCAUCGGUUCACACGAUAUUAACUCUAUUUUUUUAAGGGGGAGAGUCCAUUAAGGUAGCUUGCUAUCUGGGUUCUUGCGCGUCGCCCAUGUGUUGCACUAUUGCACGGGCCUGGCGCACCCCAC
rnacentral:snRNA from 2 species